AACGAACGCUGGCGGCGUGCCUAACACAUGCAAGUCGAACGGAAUCAAGGGGCUUGCUCCUUGGUUUAGUGGCGCACGGGUGAGUAACGCGUGGAUAAUCUGCCCUGGUAUCCUGGAUAACAUUUCGAAAGAGGUGCUAAUACGGGAUAAGCCCACGGGGUCUUCGGACCUUGCGGGAAAAGGUGGCCUCUGAAUAUGCUACUGUAUCAGGAUGAGUCCGCGUACCAUUAGCUAGUUGGCGGGGUAACGGCCCACCAAGGCGACGAUGGUUAGCUGGUCUGAGAGGAUGAUCAGCCACACUGGAACUGAGACACGGUCCAGACUCCUACGGGUGGCUG
rnacentral:rRNA from 1 species